rnacentral:rRNA from 1 species
UGGGGAAUUUUGGACAAUGGGCGAAAGCCUGAUCCAGCAAUGCCGCGUGUGUGAAGAAGGCCUUCGGGUUGUAAAGCACUUUUGUCCGGAAAGAAAUCCUUGGCUCUAAUACAGUCGGGGGAUGACGGUACCGGAAGAAUAAGCACCGGCUAACUACGUGCCAGCAGCUGCGGUAAUACGUAGGGUGCAAGCGUUAAUCGGAAUUACUGGGCGUAAAGCGUGCGCAGGCGGUUUGCUAAGACCGAUGUGAAAUCCCCGGGCUCAACCUGGGAACUGCAUUGGUGACUGGGCAGGCUAGAGUAUGGCAGAGGGGGGUAGAAUUCCACGUGUAGCAGUGAAAUGCGUAGAGAUGUGGAGGAAUACCGAUGGCGAAGGCAGCCCCCUGGGCCAAUACUGACGCUCAUGCACGAAAGCGUGGGGAGCAAAACAGGAUUAGAUACCCUGGUAGUCCACGCCCCUAAAACGAUGUCAACUAGUUGUUGGGGGAUUCAUUUCCUUAGUAACGUAGCUAACGCGUGAAGUUGACCGCCUGGGGAGUACGGUCGCAAGAUUAAAACUCAAAUGAAUUGACGGGGUCAUAGCUGUUUCC